rnacentral:rRNA from 1 species
GUCUCAGGCCAUAUUCAGCCUCGAAAGGCGCCCGAUUCUCCUCUGAUCUCGGAAGCUAAGCAGGGUCGGGCCUGGUUAGGAUCUUGGAUGGGAGACCACCUGGGAAUCCCGGGUGCUCGAGGCU